GUGAAUCAUCAAAUUUUUGAACGCACAUUGCACUCUCUGGUAUUCCGGAGAGCAUGCCUGUUUGAGGGUCAGUAUAAAUAAAAAUCGGCGCGGUUGCCGCCUUUAGUGGUGACGCACCGGAAGUGGGUCGUUUCGCCUUCGGUUAAGUGACCUAAAAUUUUGCAUGAUUUAUUCGAACGAAUUUAUAUGAUUUUAAGUACGAUUGCGUUAUCGAUUUCUAGGUGCGGUCUUACUCAUGAUUUG
rnacentral:misc_RNA from 1 species